CACACGGAUAACAUACCGAAAGGUAUGCUAAUACGAGAUAAAAUACUUUUAUCGCAUGGUAGAAGUAUCAAAGCUUUUGCGGUACAGGAUGGACCCGCGUCUGAUUAGCUAGUUGGUAAGGUAACGGCUUACCAAGGCGACGAUCAGUAGCCGACCUGAGAGGGUGAUCGGCCACAUUGGAACUGAGACACGGUCCAAACUCCUACGGGAGGCAGCAGUGGGGAAUAUUGCACAAUGGGCGAAAGCCUGAUGCAGCAACGCCGCGUGAGCGAUGAAGGCCUUCGGGUCGUAAAGCUCUGUCCUCAAGGAAGAUAAUGACGGUACUUGAGGAGGAAGCCCCGGCUAACUACGUGCCAGCAGCCGCGGUAAUACGUAGGGGGCUAGCGUUAUCCGGAAUUACUGGGCGUAAAGGGUGCGUAGGUGGUUUCUUAAGUCAGAGGUGAAAGGCUACGGCUCAACCGUAGUAAGCCUUUGAAACUGGGGAACUUGAGUGCAGGAGAGGAGAGUGGAAUUCCUAGUGUAGCGGUGAAAUGCGUAGAUAUUAGGAGGAACACCAGUUGCGAAGGCGGCUCUCUGGACUGUAACUGACACUGAGGCACGAAAGCGUGGGGAGCAAACAGGAUUAGAUACCCUGGUAGUCCACGCCGUAAACGAUGAGUACUAGCUGUCGGAGGUUACCCCCUUCGGUGGCGCAG
rnacentral:rRNA from 1 species